ACCUUAUCCGUUGUAGCCAAAGUUCAACGAAGCGGCAACUUUGGCACUCCGCAGAUAAGGCAA
rnacentral:pre_miRNA from 1 species